rnacentral:rRNA from 1 species
UACGGGGGGUGCGAGCGUUGUCCGGAAUCACUGGGCGUAAAGGGCGCGUAGGUGGUUUGAUAAGGGUGUGGUGAAAGUCCGGGGCUCAACCCCGGAUCUGCCGUGCCGACUGUCAAACUCGAGGACUGUAGAGGCAGACGGAAUUCCGGGUGUAGCGGUGGAAUGCGUAGAUAUCAGGAGGAACACCAACGGCGAAGGCAGCUCGCUGGGACGGUACUGACACUGAGGCGCGAAAGCGUGGGGAGCGAACAGG